rnacentral:rRNA from 1 species
CCUACGGGAGGCAGCAGUGAGGAAUAUUGGUCAAUGGACGAGAGUCUGAACCAGCCAAGUAGCGUGAAGGAUGACUGCCCUAUGGGUUGUAAACUUCUUUUAUAAAGGGACAAAAUCAGGCUCGAGAGCCUGACCGAGGGUACUUGAAGAAAAAGCAUCGGCUAACUCCGUGCCAGCAGCCGCGGUAAUACGGAGGAUGCGAGCGUUAUCCGGAUUUAUUGGGUUUAAAGGGUGCGUAGGCGGACUGUUAAGUCAGCGGUAAAAGCCCGGGGCUCAACCCCGGCGAGCCGUUGAAACUGGCUGUCUUGAGAUGUGGAGAGGUAUGCGGAAUGCGCAGUGUAGCGGUGAAAUGCUUAGAUAUUGCGCAGAACUCCGAUGGCGAAGGCAGCAUACCGGCGGGGAUCUGACGCUGAGGCACGAAAGCGUGGGUAUCGAACAGGAUUAGAUACCCCUGUAGUC